CCUACGGGGGGCUGCAGUGGGGAAUAUUGGACAAUGGGGGGAACCCUGAUCCAACCAUGCCGCGUGUGUGAAGAAGGCCCUCGGGUUGUAAAGCACUUUCAGUGAGGAAGAACGCCUGGUGGUUAAUACCCAUCAGGAAAGACAUCACUCACAGAAGAAGCACCGGCUAACUCCGUGCCAGCAGCCGCGGUAAUACGGAGGGUGCGAGCGUUAAUCGGAAUUACUGGGCGUAAAGCGCGCGUAGGUGGCUUGAUAAGCCGGUUGUGAAAGCCCCGGGCUCAACCUGGGAACGGCAUCCGGAACUGUCAAGCUAGAGUGCAGGAGAGGAAGGUGGAAUUCCCGGUGUAGCGGUGAAAUGCGUAGAGAUCGGGAGGAAUACCAGUGGCGAAGGCGGCCUUCUGGACUGACACUGACACUGAGGUGCGAAAGCGUGGGUAGCAAACAGGAUUAGAUACCCUUGUAGUC
rnacentral:rRNA from 1 species